AGUGUAGAUAUUCCUCAAACACUGGCUUGGAUGGUUCUGUUUGGAUCUCCCAGUCACAUGCUGCUAUCCACCUUGACUCAGUGAAAGAAGAGAGAGCAGGUCUGUGGACACAAGACUAGGGGAAAGAAGAGCACAGAAUCAUCUCAUUCUAACUCUCCUGCUGUGGGCAGGGAGACCUUCUGCUAUCCCAGGUUGUUUCAAGCCCCAUCCAACCCGGCCUUGAACAUUCCCAGGAUGGUAUCACUCUGUACUUGGAUUAAUUUAGUCUUUUCUGGAUCUGCUGCUUGACUAGAAGAACUGAACAUCCACAAAGAUGCCCUGGGAAGUUAUGUGCACUGCAUCAGCCGGUGGCUUUAUAAAGAAGAAAACUUCCUUUGGACCAUCUCUAUAAAAUCACAUGCAUUUUUAUAGCCAGACAAGCAAAAUUCUAAGUCCUAACUAAACUACCUUGCCCUUAAA